CUGGAGGUAUCAGAAGUGCGAAUGCUGACAUAAGUAACGAUAAAGCGGGUGAAAAGCCCGCUCGCCGGAAGACCAAGGGUUCCUGUCCAACGUUAAUCGGGGCAGGGUGAGUCGACCCCUAAGGCGAGGCCGAAAGGCGUAGUCGAUGGGAAACGGGUUAAUAUUCCCGUACUUGGUGUUACUGCGAAGGGGGGACGGAGAAGGCUAUGUUGGCCGGGCGACGGUUGUCCCGGUUUAAGCGUGUAGGUGUGUG
rnacentral:rRNA from 1 species